UACGUAGGGGCCAAGCGUUGUUCGGAUUUACUGGGCGUAAAGGGCGCGUAGGCGGCAAUUCAAGUCAUCUGUGAAAUCUCCGGGCUUAACUCGGAACGGUCAGCUGAUACUGCUUUGCUAGAGUGCAGAAGGGGCAAUCGGAAUUCUUGGUGUAGCGGUGAAAUGCGUAGAUAUCAAGAGGAACACCUGAGGUGAAGACGGGUUGCUGGGCUGACACUGACGCUGAGGCGCGAAAGCUAGGGUAGCAAACGGG
rnacentral:rRNA from 1 species